AAAGGUUGGCUUGAAAAGUAUGAAGAAAAGCAGUGGCAUCUAUGGUAGUUCUGCAAAUAUGAAAGCGAGAAAGGCACUGGCUGAUGUUAGCAACGUUCAAGGCAACUCUAUGAGGAAUAUUAAACAGGAUGCUUCUAAAAUGAAGGUUUUAGCCAGCACAGGUACCAAGUUGGGCGAUGCCUCUUCAAGGAAGUCCUUUAUGGGGAGACUGCACAGGAA